UUUUGGUGUGAGGAAAUGAAGAGGAGAGGGUGGUAUUUAUAGAAUUGGAGAGGCUUGUAUUCUUAAUGAGUAAGUAUGAAGAGGGGUCUUUUUGCAAUUAGGAGUAACUUGAAAUAAUCUAGGGGGACUUCUAGGCAAUUUCAUUUAAGUUAUCUUAAAAAUAAUGCUAAAUGAAAAGUCAAGUGGAAAUGCACAUGGAAUAAGGGUAUGCAUGCAACACAUACAAUCCUAGCCAAUUUAAAGAGGGUAAUUUACUAUCAAUUAAGCAUAUAAACUUUCUAGUGUGAGAAAAUAAAUUCUUAUAUUACUAAAACUAAAUUCACGUAGAUCACAUAAUUUCACGUGUUCAAUUAUAUUAAACACAUGAAAUACAUUUUAGUUGCGCAAAUAGAAAAUAAAAU